ensembl:lncRNA
UAAAACUAGACUUGGUAAGAAAAAAAACAGGCUGAAGAAACCCUGUCAGUCACUGCUGAGUUUGUAGUGAGUGGUUUGUACGCAUAUCUUACCGUAGUGAACGAUUUUUGUUUUGUUUGAACACCACAGAGGUGUGUGUGUGUGUGUGUGUGUGUGUGUGUGUGUCUCCCCAGCGCUUUCAUUUCACUAACCUUCCUGUUCAGACAGUCUCCUCUCUGAGACGGCGUCUGUCGUCAUUGUGAUUUAUGAGUUUAAUAAAACGCUGUGUGUGUGUGUGUGUCUCAGGGCUAUACUGUCCCUUACAAUCACUCCACAAGCUCUCUUUUCACAACCUCUCCCUCCCUCCGUGGCUGACAAUAGCUGUGAAUGUGGCUGUGAAUGUUUUAGAAGUGCCCUUGUCAGAUUGGUGUCCUUGAGCGAGGGCACGGUUGUUACUGCCAGUUUGUUAAUUUCAAACUUGCCUUGAUGUCCCCUUGAGGGACGCAGGAGCAAAACUAAAUUACUGCUGCAUAGUUCUGAUGGAGACACCGGCCCUCAGUGUGUUCGUGCUGCUGUGUGUGACUGUGUGUGGUAACUAAGCCUCUGUACAGCUGGUGGCACAUCUGUGUUGUACUAACUCAGCAGAAAAGAGAAAUCCUAAAUCGACAUCUCAGCUAGACGACCACCACGACUCGUGAGUCAGUGUAAGGAACACACUGAGAUAGAAAACUUCAUUUAUGAUGUAUCCAGUGUGUAAACAGCAACUGAGGCAUGUCUUACAUUGCUUAUCUACAUUUACUAAAGUUUGCUAAGCUAAAUAUCCAAAUAUAUUCAUGUACACACAUUCAACUGUGUGUGCAGAGUAUUUUGUUUUCAUUAUUGCAUUUCUGCAUGUUUAAAUGAAUAUUUCAACCGAGGCACAAUAUUGCCUUCAACAUGGAACAAAUAUUCAUAUAUCAUUAGUAGAGUUUUUGCCCUGUUUUUUCAUUGUGAUGCUUAUACGUCGCCAUUUGAUUCAUAUUUUGCCUUUCCGGGCUUGAACAUCAAAGUGGUACAUUUGUGCAUCUUUUAUUUUCAGCUGCUGCUUUCAAAUGUUG